AAGUAGUUCCGGGGCGACAUUUUCUGCAGAAGCGCCGUUCCUUGAGAGCACGCGGGCCUGGAAGGACCAGUUGGGCUGCAACGACGCGGUUCAUUAUGGAUAAGAAAGGCUUAUUAAUGUUUAUGUUGUUGAGUGAUUAUAAUGAUACUUGACGUAAGCCUGCUGGAAGAAUUCCUCCCAUUUUGACCUCAUUACGGUCCCUCGUGGAGCGAUGACUAGGCCGCCUCGGCACGAAAAUAUGGUCCGGUAGUGAUCGUGGAUCCACGCCGUGUUUCUGAGGGGAUUGCACACCCACACGUGGGCGCAGAGAGAUGGCGUCCUCUCACGUGGCCUCAUGGAGGAAAAUGAUGCUCGUUGUGGCUGAUUUCCUGCACGUGGCAAGACGAUAUGAGGACUGGACAAGCCGGCGUAUAAUACAUGAGGACACCUAGAAGCAGUUUCCUGUAUCAACUUCAUACAUGUUAACUUGUUGGAACUUUUUGAAUUAAACAAAAUUGUCAACCAGCA